rnacentral:rRNA from 1 species
ACGAACGCUGGCGGCGUGCCUAAUACAUGCAAGUUGAGCGCUGAAGAUUGGUGCUUGCACCAAUUUGAAGAGCAGCGAACGGGUGAGUAACGCGUGGGGAAUCUGCCUUUGAGCGGGGGACAACAUUUGGAAACGAAUGCUAAUACCGCAUAAUAACUUUAAACAUAAGUUUUAAGUUUGAAAGAUGCAAUUGCAUCACUCAAAGAUGAUCCCGCGUUGUAUUAGCUAGUUGGUGAGGUAAAGGCUCACCAAGGCGAUGAUACAUAGCCGACCUGAGAGGGUGAUCGGCCACAUUGGGACUGGGACACGGCCCAAACUCCUACGGGAGGCAGCAGUAGGGAAUCUUCGGCAAUGGACGAAAGUCUGACCGGGCAACGCCGCGUGAGUGAAGAAGGUUUUCGGAUCGUAAAACUCUGUUGGUAGGGAAGAACGUUGGUGAGAGUGGAAAGCUCAUCAAGUGACGGUAACUACCCAGAAAGGGACGGCUAACUACGUG